rnacentral:misc_RNA from 1 species
AAAACUAAAUUUCUUUUUUUUUCUAGUUCUUUAUGGAAACAUUUUCUUUUUCAAAUUGGAAAACUGUUAUCUAUUAUCUGCUUUGCCUCCGGAGCGUCAUCUAUAUUAAAGCGGUUAUAUUCCUAUGGUUUUGACAUAUUAUCAGAUUUUUUUUACCAGGUGGAGAAAUACAUCUUUAUGUCUGGUGAUCUGAGGCAUACUUGUGACAUCUUGUUUUACCAUUUACACAACUUCUGAUAAAACAACAUUGUUUAACUUUUAUAUUUGACUUGAAACUACACACUACAAUCUGUCUAAUUUCCAUUUGAUUAUUUGCAUAUCUUUUUCCAGAAUGCUGCCAGAAAAAAAAGCAUUUGUUUUUUUUUUUAAUCUUGGUGUUUCUGGGAAGUAUUCCUUCUUACUUAAUUAUGAUCCGCUUUGGGUGGAAGCUAGCUAUAUUGCUUACUAUAUUAUUGGACUUUAUUGCGCAAAGGUCUCUAUAAAUUGCAUAUUAUCACUUCUACUUAAUUGAUUUCUCUCAGUUUUUAUUAUGACUGUGUACGUAUUGUUCGAUGUAUUGUGUACAAAAACUACGCAGCAGUCCACAUAUUAUAAAGCCUUGAAAUUAACGCCGACCUUGGUUUGAAAUAUAAGGCCUAUCAUAUAAAUGUUCAGUGUGAUCAAUUGUCAUGACUUCUUUACAGUAUUUCAAUCACCUAAAAAAGCAGAACUCUAUAUAAAAUUAAAAAAAGAACGAUAAGAUUUUGAGGCAUUUUUAUUUUUUCUUACAGUUUUUGGCCAAAAGUAUUAUGUCUUAUUAUUUGUUGUCAUACCGUUGUCAUACCCGAUUAUGAAAAAAAUGAAUAUUACACGUGUUAUUUGUAAAUUAUCCUUAUUAACACUUGUUAUACUAGACUAUGUAAAUACUGACGUCAAAGAGUUAAUACAAAUUUAAAG